rnacentral:rRNA from 1 species
AUACGGAGGAUGCAAGCGUUAUCCGGAUUUAUUGGGUUUAAAGGGUGCGUAGGCGGAAUUAUAAGUCAGCGGUGAAAUUCACAGGCUCAACCUGUGCCGUGCCGUUGAAACUGUAACUCUAGAAUACGGAUGCUGUGGGAGGAAUGUGUAGUGUAGCGGUGAAAUGCAUAGAUAUUACACAGAACACCGAUUGCGAAGGCAUCUCACAAAGUCGUCAUUGACGCUGAGGCACGAAAGUGUGGGGAUCAAACAGGAUUAGAUACCCUGGUAGUCCACUACUGUAAACGAUGAUAACUCGCUGCCGGCGACACACUGUCGGUGGCCCAGCGAAAGCGAUAAGUUAUCCACCUGGGGAGUACGACCGCAAGGUUGAA